AACGCACCUUGCACCCUUUGGUAUUCCGAAGGGUAUGCCUGUUUGAGUGUCAUUAAAUUCUCAACCAUUGAACUUGUUUCUUUGGCUUGGAUGUGGGGGUUGCUGGCUUUGCAAAGAAGUCGGCUCUCCUUAAAUGCAUUAGUGGAAACCGCUUGCAGGAUUCAUUCACUUUUUGGCGUGAUAGUAUCGUCGUCAUGAAGGUCAUGUCUCCGAGGUAUCUGCUCUCUAACUGUCCGUAAGGACUCUUAAUGACUUGUUUGACCUCAAAUCAGGUAGGACUACCCGCUGAACUUAA
rnacentral:misc_RNA from 1 species